UCACGUAUCCAACGUAUCAACCAUUGUGAACUGUUUUCACCUUUGAGAAGUAUGUGAGUGAUUAGGGUUCUUCGGUAAAACGAAAAACUCGCUUCUCAAAGUGUAUUUAAUCACUUCAUUAUUAACAAUUUUAACCAUAAUUUUAAACAAUUGAACUGAUCUAUUUCAUACUCUUUACGGAGAUGAAAUUCAUUACGAAACAAAGAA
rnacentral:misc_RNA from 1 species